GUAAACCAUAGCGAGCAAACCGUGGCGGCAUCGCAAGGCGUCGUCGCGGUUAAUAAGGAUAACCCUGGUAAUUCUGAGGCUAAUACAAGAACGUACAACCCACCCGACCCGUAAGGGAAGGGGGGGGAAUGUGUGACCAGGCACGCAAAUUCGAAACUGGGAGUGGCCACACGUUCAGACCGUCAUACCAAACAGUCGCUCGCUUUGAAAGUCCUCGUGACGAGUAAACGGCGGGCUUCUGGGCGGCUCUCGCUGUGUGCUUCUGACCUAUCAACUAGAUGGCAGCGUAACGGACAUGCUAUGGUGACAACGGGUACAGAGGAUAAGGGUUCGAUCCUGGAGAGUGGGCCUGAGAGAUU
rnacentral:rRNA from 1 species